rnacentral:tRNA from 1 species
GGGGGGAUAGCGAAGUGGCUAAACGCGGUUGACUGUAAAUCAACUCUCCCUGAGUUCGGCGGUUCGAAUCCGUCUCCCCCCACCA